rnacentral:rRNA from 1 species
CGAAAGCCUGACGGAGCAAUACCGCGUGAGGGAGGAAGGCUCUUGGGUUGUAAACCUCUUUUCUCAGGGAAGAAGAUCUGACGGUACCUGAGGAAUAAGCAUCGGCUAACUCCGUGCCAGCAGCCGCGGUAAUACGGAGGAUGCAAGCGUUAUCCGGAAUUAUUGGGCGUAAAGCGUCCGCAGGUGGUUUUUCAAGUCCGCUGUUAAAGACUGGGGCUCAACUCCGGAAAGGCAGUGGAAACUGGAAGACUAGAGUUCGGUAGGGGUAGCGGGAAUUCCCAGUGUAGCGGUGAAAUGCGUAGAGAUUGGGAAGAACAUCGGUGGCGAAAGCGCGCUACUGGACCGAGACUGACACUCAGGGACGAAAGCUAGGGGAGCGAAAGGGAUUAGAUACCCCUGUAGUCCUAGCUGUAAACGAUG